rnacentral:miRNA from 1 species
AGCUACAUUUGACUACUGGGUCU